rnacentral:rRNA from 1 species
GUAGGGGGCGAGCGUUAUCCGGAUUCAUUGGUCGUAAAGCGCGCGUAGGCGGCCGGGCAGGCGGGGUGUCAAAUGGCGGGGCUCAACCCCGUCCCGCGCCCCGAACCGCCCGGCUCGGGUCCGGCAGGGGAGGGUGGAACGCCCGGUGUAGCGGUGGAAUGCGCAGAUAUCGGGCGGAACACCGGUGGCGAAGGCGGCCCUCUGGGCCGGCACCGACGCUGAGGCGCGAAAGCUGGGGGAGCGAACAGGAUUAGAUACCCUGGUAGUCCCAGCCGUAAACGAUGGACGCUAGGUGUGGGGGGACGAUCCCCCCGUGCCGCAGCCAACGCAUUAAGCGUCCCGCCUGGGGAGUACGGCCGCAAGGCUA